rnacentral:rRNA from 1 species
UGGGGAAUUUUGGACAAUGGGGGAAACCCUGAUCCAGCCAUCCCGCGUGUGCGAUGAAGGCCUUCGGGUUGUAAAGCACUUUUGGCAGGAAAGAAACGUCAUGGGUUAAUACCCCGUGAAACUGACGGUACCUGCAGAAUAAGCACCGGCUAACUACGUGCCAGCAGCCGCGGUAAUACGUAGGGUGCAAGCGUUAAUCGGAAUUACUGGGCGUAAAGCGUGCGCAGGCGGUUCGGAAAGAAAGAUGUGAAAUCCCAGAGCUCAACUUUGGAACUGCAUUUUUAACUACCUGGCUAGAGUGUGUCAGAGGGAGGUGGAAUUCCGCGUGUAGCAGUGAAAUGCGUAGAUAUGCGGAGGAACACCGAUGGCGAAGGCAGCCUCCUGGGAUGACACUGACGCUCAUGCACGAAAGCGUGGGGAGCAAACAGG